rnacentral:sRNA from 1 species
GUGUGGUAGCCGUUUCC